AUACGUAGGGAGCGAGCGUUGUCCGGAAUUACUGGGUGUAAAGGGCGUGUAGGCGGGCUGUCAAGUCAGAUGUGAAAUUCCCGGGCUUAACCUGGGCGCUGCAUUUGAUACUGGGUGUCUAGAGUGUGGAAGAGGUAAGUGGAAUUCCGAGUGUAGAGGUGAAAUUCGUAGAUAUUCGGAGGAACACCAGUGGCGAAGGCGGCUUACUGGUCCAUUACUGACGCUGAGGUGCGAAAGCGUGGGGAGC
rnacentral:rRNA from 1 species